rnacentral:rRNA from 1 species
GACGAACGCUGGCGGCGUGCUUAACACAUGCAAGUCGAACGGAAAGGCCCUGCUUUUGUGGGGUGCUCGAGUGGCGAACGGGUGAGUAACACGUGAGUAACCUGCCCUUGACUUUGGGAUAACUUCAGGAAACUGGGGCUAAUACCGGAUAGGAGCUCCUGCUGCAUGGUGGGGGUUGGAAAGUUUCGGCGGUUGGGGAUGGACUAGCGGCUUAUCAGCUUGUUGGUGGGGUAGUGGCGUACCAAGGCUAUGACGGGUAGCCGGCCUGAGAGGGUGACCGGCCACCUUGGGACUGAGAUACGGCCCAGACUCCUACGGGAGGCAGCAGUGGGGAAUAUUGCACAAUGGCGGGAAGCCUGAUGCAGCAACGCCGCGUGCGGAAUAACGUCCUUCGGGUGGUAAACCGCUUUCGCCUGUGACGAGGCGUGAGUGACGGUAAUGGGUAAAGAAGCACCGGCUAACUACGUG